CAAUAGCGUAUAUUAAAGUUGUUGCAGUUAAAAAGCUCGUAGUUGGAUUUGUGGUGUACUUCGGCGGCCCGUCACUAUGUGAUGGAGCUUGCUGAAGUCGCCAUCCUUGGGUGGAUCCUGUGUGGCAUUAAGUUGUCGUGCAGGGGAUGCCCAUCGUUUACUGUGAAAAAAUUAGAGCGUUCAAAGCAGGCUUAUGCCGUUGAAUAUAUUAGCAUGGAAUAAUAAGAUAGGACCUUGGUACUAUUUUGUUGGUUUGCGCACCAAGGUAAUGAUUAAUAGGGACAGUUGGGGGUAUUCGUAUUUCAUUGUCAGAGGUGAAAUUCUUGGAUUUUUGAAAGACGAACUACUGCGAAAGCAUUUACCAAGGAUGUUUUCAUUAA
rnacentral:rRNA from 1 species